GACGAACGCUGGCGGCGUGCCUAACACAUGCAAGUCGAACGGAGACAAACGCCGAAUUGAAGGUAGCUUGCUACAGGAUUUUCUUGUUUGUCUUAGUGGCGGACGGGUGAGUAACGCGUGAGUAACCUGCCUUACAGAGGGGGACAACAGUUGGAAACGACUGCUAAUACCGCAUAACAUAGCGAAGAGGCAUCUCUUUGUUAUCAAAGGAGCAAUCCGCUGUAAGAUGGACUCGCGUCCAAUUAGAUAGUUGGUGGGGUAACGGCCACCAAGUCGACGAUUGGUAGCCGGACUGAGAGGUUGAACGGCCACAUUGGGACUGAGACACGGCCCAGACUCCUACGGGAGGCAGCAGUGGGGGAUAUUGCACAAUGGGGGAAACCCUGAUGCAGCAACGCCGCGUGAGUGAAGAAGUAUUCGGUAUGUAAAGCUCUAUCAGCAGGGAAGAAAAAUGACGGUACCUGACUAAGAAGCCCCGGNUAACUACGUGCCAGCAGCCG
rnacentral:rRNA from 1 species